AUGCACUCUCAAUCAUUCAUCCUGGGGCUGGUGACCCUUAGGCUCAGCCUCCACGGGUAUUGUGGCUCAUCUGGUUGGGAACCAGCACGGGCUCUACCCGAACUUUCCCCUCAACCCAGAUGAUGCUGAAGUCGGGCUUCACUGCUGUGGCCUCAGAUCUGACAGUGAGGACACUUCAAGUCCGAAUGUCAGUGAUGUCCUAGGAAAUUAUUUGCUGGGGCUUGUGGCUGCACUGGAUACACUUGCAAUAAUGAAAAGUUAAUUUGAGGUCCAGAAAGUGGUGAAGUCACUGAGCAAUACCGCUUUAUUUCACAGAGUCCAACUGCCAAGUAUUUGAAGCUGUAAUAGGGAUCCCAGAAAGUCUUCUACCUUACUGUAUAAUAAUAGUGGACCCAAAGCAGGGCAUUGGUGAUGUGACAGUUAAGAAUGAUGAUAAUGAAUUAUUGCACAUGGCUCAUGACCUGGCCAUGUGACUGCUCCUUGCUUUGAAACACUAAAACCCAAAUUCUUUAUCCUCUAAUCUAUAGGCAACAAUAGUGCCUAGCAGAAGCUGGCUCUCUGUGGGUGGAAUUUGGGAUUCUUAGCUAAUGCCUAGGGAAGUCUACAAGAAGCUCUUUGGAACCUCUGGAGCAAUAAUAUGGAAUUAUGAAGUCACAUGUGAACAUUCAGUUGGACUAUUGGGUUAGAAAGCACAGGGGCAUGGAUACUGGGCUGGAUUCCCUCAAAGAAUAUCUCUUGAAAUCUUUUUCUUUGGAGAAAGAGAAGACCUACACAUGCUUAAUCAGGAUAUUCAGACUUACUUAACGAAAGAUCAGGAGGACUGAAAGAACUAUGUCCAGUGGGCAGCUGAUAAACUCCUGAGUUGACUGUGCAAAGCUUAAUUCCCUGGGCUGAGGUUCUAAUAAGGGUUGGCAUUUUCCUCCACACUUUUUAUUCUGCUGUGUGGAAAAGAUGGAUAACCCUUCCGAGGAAGUUUAACUGGUGUCUCCAAGUCUCUGAUGUUUUCUUCUACCCACUGAGACCAAAGUUAGUGGAAUCUUUGUAUCUUCUCUAUCAGACAGCCAAGAAUCCCUUCUACCUUUAUGUGGGAAUGCAAGUUCUGCAGAACCAACAAACAAAAACCAAAAUCCAAUGUAGGUCUGCUCUGCUACAUUGUGGCAAAAGAAAAUCAAAGGAGAGUUUCUUUUUCAGGGAUAUAUUCAAAUACUUUUAUCUGCCAUUUACUGAAGAGACUCCAGCUCACAAACCUGGAAAGCAAUGCAUGUUGGCAAUUGAGACUUAUAUUAUCUGUGAACAAACAUCUGAGGAAAUCAUCAUGAAAGAGCUCCUCCUUUUCUAAAGAGGGAAGACAAGACCACAUGACAAACCUGUGCAAAGGCCUAAAUCUCAUUAAGUAACAGCUAUCACUCCCAGCUACAAUUGCAAUUGUGUUAUGACAAGAGAUACUCCUUGCCAUUCAAUAUUACCUACAUGAGACAGACUGAAUUAUUGCCUUAACUU
rnacentral:lncRNA from 1 species